UGGGGAAUAUUGGACAAUGGGCGCAAGCCUGAUCCAGCCAUGCCGCGUGGGUGAAGAAGGCCUUCGGGUUGUAAAGCCCUUUUGUUGGGGAAGAAAUCGUGCAGGUGAAUAUCCUGCGCGGCUGACGGUACCCAACGAAUAAGCACCGGCUAACUUCGUGCCAGCAGCCGCGGUAAUACGAAGGGUGCAAGCGUUACUCGGAAUUACUGGGCGUAAAGCGUGCGUAGGCGGUUCGUUAAGUCCGUUGUGAAAGCCCUAAGCUCAACCUGGGAAUUGAAGUGGAUACUGGCGAGCUAGAGUACGGUAGAGGAUGGUGGAAUUCCCGGUGUAGCGGUGAAAUGCGUAGAGAUCGGGAGGAACACCCGUGGCGAAGGCGGCCAUCUGGACCAGUGCUGACGCUGAGGCACGAAAGCGUGGGGAGCAAACA
rnacentral:rRNA from 1 species